UUGAUACUCCCUCCAUCCCAAAAUUCUUGUCUUAGAUUCGCCUAACAUCCGUAUCUAGGCGAAUCUAAGACAAGAAUUUUGGGACGGAGGGAGUAUUUC
rfam:Triticum aestivum genome assembly, contig: Triticum_aestivum_CS42_TGACv1_scaffold_328596_4BS